rnacentral:snoRNA from 1 species
CAAAGUGAUGAAACUGCACUGGGCACCGACAUCCUUUGGAUGAGCGCAAUGAGCCGAAACGCAACUUCAUGGCAGGCCUAGAAAACCUCGCCAACUGAAA